CCCGCCGCCUUCCACUCCCCCAAACACACACGCUCAUACGCUCAUAUAGCACUCGUGCGCACCGACACACCCACACCCCCUCCUCUCUCUUCUCCCCAACCUACCCAUCGCAGCCAUGGCUACUCCUCGCAGCGCCAAGAAGGCCGCCCGCAAGAGCGGCUCCAAGUCCGCGAAAUGUGGUCUGAUCUUCCCGGUGGGCCGCGUCGGCGGGAUGAUGCGCCGCGGCCAGUACGCUCGCCGCAUCGGUGUCUCUGGCGCCGUGUACCUGGCUGCCGUGCUGGAGUACCUGACUGCGGAGCUGCUGGAGCUGUCCGUGAAGGCGGCCGCGCAGAGCGGGAAGAAGCGGUGCCGCCUGAACCCGCGCACCGUGAUGCUGGCUGCGCGCCACGACGACGACAUCGGCAUGCUUCUGAAGAACGUGACCUUGUCUCACAGCGGCGUUGUGCCGAACAUCAGCAAGGCGAUGGCGAAGAAGAAGGGCGGCAAGAAGGGCAAGGCGACACCGAACGCUUAGAUCACACCUACCCCUCUCUUUCUCUCGCUGAUAGGGGACAGGGUGUGUGUGCGUUGCUGUGUGGGAGCGAGAGGUGCACGGGUCUGCGCGCGUGCACUACGUAACUGGCGCAUGACGUCGUCGUCUGCUUCUCGCUCCCUGUGACACACACACACGCAUACGUAUCCCCCUCUCUCCCCCUCCAUAGAUCCAGUCUUUUUGUUUCUCAUCUGGCUUGGCUUCUCGUUUUCUCAGUGACGUUAUUCUCCCUCUCUCUGUGCAGAGAAGGCAUGCGACGAAAGACAAUAUGGAAAUAGGAAAAGAAGGUCCACCGCAUACGUGCACAUUCAAACGGCUCCGUGAUACCCGCGGCCGCACACGUUCUCUCAUUCAGAGAUGAUCAGCGGCACCACCAACGCGAAGCGUUCUGCUUUGCGUGUGAGGCUCGUGAGCGGAGCACCGCUAUGGAAGUGCCUUGUGGGCUAGUAUCUCUCCUGCUCUCUCACGGGUCUGACUCUUUCCCUGAGGUGCGAGUGUGGUGUGAAUAGCUCGGCCGCAAGCGCAUUUGCGCGCAUGGAAGCUGGUUCGCCAGCAGAAUGCUGCGGGGGAGGUGCUCGGAUGCAGUGGAGGUGGCCGUAGGGGCAACUAUGCGCCCUCCGAGAAAGGAAAAGCGACCAUCUGGGAGUACUCUAGUGGGUGGUGCAUCGGGGAAUAUCUGGCCUUCCUUCGUGUGCAUGCCUGAAGAAGUCGGCUGCGGACAACAUAGCCGGCUGGUGCUUGAUCCUCGUCGCCAGGGGCAGAGAGCACCUGCGAUGGCGUCUGUAUCUCUCAGCAAAGCUCCUUUCGUGCGCUUUUCUCUCUGUGCAUGUGCCUCGCACACCUCACCACCUCGGCCCUUCUCUUCCUCGCAACUUCUCGCGUCUGCGUCUCUGUCGGAACUCAUCACCCGUUCCUCCACUUUCCUCCUUUGUGUUUUGCAACGGCCUCGUGUACGGUAUGGUCGUUUGCUCAAUUUUUUUUUUUGCUUUUCCUUUCGGUGUUCCCGCUGCCACCGCUGUUGCGGCGGCUCGCCGAAACCGCUUCGAUGGCAAACGCGCCGAAUCAAACACACACGCACACACUUCCUUCUCAG
rnacentral:misc_RNA from 1 species